rnacentral:piRNA from 1 species
UGGUAAGUAAGUUUCAGUCAAGGAGAGUGU